UUGACGGUCAUCUGAUGUUUCAUACUGUUUCCUUAUGAAAUUAAAAAUAAUGCAGAGAACAGAACAUUUUGCGCAAUACGUAUUUAACUUCUGCAAUACGUAUUUAAUUGUACUCCAAUCCCAUUAUCAUACAACAGAUUGGAGUGAAUCAACUUUGCUAUGACACCAAGGAGCUGCAAUAGGGGAAACUGCUCCAGUAAAU